AUGGCAACGACUGCAGCAGCAUCUACCCUCUCAUGGCUUCACAGCUUUGGCGGAACCCAAAAUGAGACAACAAAAGUUACAGACAGAAACAGGGUAUUCGUGGUUUUUAACCAAAAGAAAGUUAAAAAGACUCGAAAGGUAAUAUUGAAGGAGGAUGUGGAAAACCUAGGACAGAAAGGGCAGCUUUUGGAUGUCAAAGCUGGGUAUUUCAGGAAUUAUCUUUUGCCAAUGGGAAAGGCCCAGAUUAUCACUCCUGUUUUGCUCAAGGAAAUGAAAAUGGAGGAGGAAAGAAUUGAAGCAGAGAAGCAACGGGUAAAAGAAGAGGCACAACAACUUGCUCUAAUAUUUGAAACUGUUGGAGCUUUUAAGGUGAAGCGGAAAGGUGGAAAAGGAAAGCUAAUUUUUGGAAGUGUUACUGCUCAAGAUCUUGUAGAUAUUAUCAAGGCACAGAUUCAACGGGAUGUGGACAAAAGAAUAGUUUCUCUUCCAGAGAUUAGGGAAACAGGAGAAUAUAUUGCAGAGUUGAAGCUCCACCCUGAAGUUACUGCCCGAGUGAGACUGAAUGUUUAUGCUAACUGAGGACAAGUCCCUUCUGUGCACCUCCUCUCUGAAUGGGCAACUUGUUAGUCACUUGCAUCAGUCUAUGGGGGGGUUACAUGAUCUGUUGGAGAGUGGCAAUGUGAAAUUUGGUGUAGAACUUGUAUUAGCUAUAUUAACCAUAGCAGAGCGGUUUUAUAUUUGUUUUUCCAGUUUUUCAUUAUUCUCUUGUAGAUAGCAUCGAGUGUUGAAAAUUAUUCAUAAAUAUUGCUUAACUAUAUCUGGAAACAGCUUCUCUCUGUGGCUUUCACGUGUUGUAUAUUGCCAAACUCCUCUAAUCUUUGAUUAAGCUUCGGCAAAUAUCAUAGCAGUGGCCACUUGGGCUUGCUCAAGUGGUAAUGAUGAGGUGAGAUUCGAGCAAUCCUGCAAAAACUGUUGCCUUUACUGAAAGAAUAUCAUAACUUUUGAAAUACCAUGUGAGUUGCCUGAAACUUUCUCAUGUAAAUGCUUCCUAUUUAAAGUUGCAAGCGGGAUCAAAAUCCCACAUUAGCAGAAUUGGAGUUGGAGUUGGAGUUGAAGAGGGCAUUCGAAGAAAGAUUCCAUUUGUUAUCUAAUUAAUCCAAUUCAUCCUAAACAGCCCUGAACUGGUCUUAUUGGACUGUCUCCAAAUAUCAGAAGCAAAACCACAAAAUCAUUUUUCUAAGGUGUUCAGCCCAAGGGGAAAAAAAAAGGAAAAAAGAGAUUAAAUUUAACCAUGUUGCUGCCCAGGAUCGAACUGGGGACCUUCAGUGUGUAAGACUGACGUGAUAACCACUACACCACAGCAACUGUUUAUAUGAUCGAUUGGUUGGUAUUUUUUAUUUAUCUCAUGAUUCCACUUAACUAAAAUGGCCAUCAGGAUAAUGGGCUAAUGGUUUUGCCA